rnacentral:rRNA from 1 species
GAACGCACAGCGAAAGGUGCUUGCACCUUUCAAGUGAGUGGCGAACGGGUGAGUAACACGUGGACAACCUGCCUCAAGGCUGGGGAUAACAUUUGGAAACAGAUGCUAAUACCGAAUAAAACUUAGUAUCGCAUGAUACCAGGUUAAAAGGCGCUACGGCGUCACCUAGAGAUGGAUCCGCGGUGCAUUAGUUAGUUGGUGGGGUAAAGGCCUACCAAGACAAUGAUGCAUAGCCGAGUUGAGAGACUGAUCGGCCACAUUGGGACUGAGACACGGCCCAAACUCCUACGGGAGGCUGCAGUAGGGAAUCUUCCACAAUGGGCGAAAGCCUGAUGGAGCAACGCCGCGUGUGUGAUGAAGGCUUUCGGGUCGUAAAGCACUGUUGUAUGGGAAGAAAUGCUAAAAUAGGGAAUGAUUUUAGUUUGACGGUACCAUACCAGAAAGGGACGGCUAAAUAC